GGACUGCCCUCACAGCCCAGCCGCAGGCCGAGUCCCGACCCGCCCCUCGGAAGCCGGAGCAGGCCUGUGCUGAUCGUGCUGCAUAGGAGGACGCGCCGUGGAACUCCCAUCGCUUCCGCACAGACGCUCUCACUCCAUCCAGCCACUAAUGCGAGGAUGGCAGCGUCUGAGCGUCUGCGUGGGAUGGGCCCCGUGAACGCGCUCAGCGCUGCGAGGUGGCACCCAGGCUCCAGCCCAGAGCAACCAGGCGCAGCCGGACGUGCCAGAGGGCCGGGGCGUGUCCCCAGAGCCCCAGGGCCAGCGGGGCCCGGGCGGCAGAGGAGGAGCGCACAAUGCUCUCCACCAGCACUUCUGACUGAGAAACUCAAACGAGUUUCUGUUCCCUUUCCAGGACUUAGAACGAACAGAAAACCAAACAUUUCACCAGAGCCAUUUGCUUCUUCUCCAGGAAAACACCUGGCAGGACUUAUCUCCAGGGCCGCUAGCUGACUGCACAACGAAUGCACAAUGCACAACGGCGAGUCUUUCCAGGCUUAGAUAUGCCAACUAUUGGUUUGACCCCAGAAACUUUGAAAAUACACAUUUUGCAUACUUCUGCACAUUGUGGACGACUCUACGCAGCUUGCAUAACCGUGCUCUUCUUGUCCCGAGCCCCACACCCCUGUCACAGACAGGAGGAGGAUGCUUCAAAGCUGCCACUGGAGACGGAGACAGCACAUGGUUGUUGUGGAAAAGUCUCUUUCAGGCAACACCUCUCCAUCAUCCACACCAGCCUGGCCUCACCAUCCCUGCUGCCGUACCCUCCCAGGCCUCCACUACCACUGGACCUCACGACUGGAGCAGCUUCCUAACCAGGGGGCCAGCCUGAGGCUGUUCCCCCAAAUUAUUUCCAUCUUUCCAACCACCUUUCUAAAGCAUUCCUUAGCUUAUACACAGGUAGAUAUUAACUGGAAGAUAAAAUCCAACUUAUUCAGCGUGAUGUUCCAAUCUCUUGACAGUCUUCCAACUGGAUCAAGGACCCAUUCAUUUUUGUCUCCUGAUGUCUGUCUUCCCUACCAGGCUUCAGGUAACAUUUAAGUAACUAUGCUUGUGAUUGCUUAAAAAUACAUUCAGGCCAGGCACGGUGGCUCAUGCCUGUAAUCCCAGCACUCUGGGAGGCUGAGACAGGCAGAUCACUUGAGGUCAGGAGUUCGAGACCAGCCUGGCCAACAUAGUAAAACCCUGAAAAAUACAAAAAUCAGCCCGGCAUGAUGGCGUCCACCUGUAGUCCCAGCUACUCGGGAGGCUGAGGCAGGAGAAUCACUUGAUCCUGGGAGGCGGAGGUUGCAGUGAGCUGAGAUGGUGUCACUGCACUCCAGCCUGGGGGACAGAACAAGACUCCAUCUCAAAAAAAAAAAAAAAAAGCUCAUGUUAUAAAAUCAUCUUCCCUACUAAAGAGCUCUUAUGCAAACAUGGGAUUUUACUGUAAGUCAGACGUAAUUGCAUAAAGUAAUGAAGAAAUCAAAAUUUACAUUCAAAUGACACACUAAUGAUAAGUCGUUUUUGGCUAUUCCUUAAUUCAGAAGGCUUCUCACCCUAUCCCCCUCUGAAACAUAACCUGUUUCAGGCCUCCUGCAGAUGCUUGUGGCCAAAACCACCUUAUUUACUUUUGUGGUGGCUGUUCUUGCUGGGGCUUCAUAAAUGUUGGUUGAAUCGAAAUAAAAUGAUGGUCCUUUCAUUUCUUUACUCAGAAAUAUUUACUUAUUACGUGGACCACAGAAUUCGGGACAGUUAUUGUGAGUAGUUCCUGAUUCUCUUUGUGUCUCGAGCACUUACAUAGAAACUAUUUUUCAAAUACGUGUGUAGUUAUUACAUACAAAUAAUACAUUAGAAAUUCAUUUUUAACAUUCAUAAAAUUCAGUAGAAUAUGAUCAUUGGAUAGUUUCACAAUCAAUGAAUUCUAAAGGCAAUGUAAACUUAUGAUCACAAUGGUUAUUAGGAUUUCCAUUUAUGUGGACUAGAUGUAGACUAG
ensembl:lncRNA